UGGAUCCAGACUUUGAUUAUGGCUCAGGACGAACGCUGGCGGCGUGCCUAAUACAUGCAAGUCGAGCGAGCUGAAUUCAAAGAUUCCUUCGGGAUGAUUUGUUGGAUGCUAGCGGCGGAUGGGUGAGUAACACGUGGGCAAUCUGCCCUAAAGACUGGGAUACCACUUGGAAACAGGUGCUAAUACCGGAUAACAACAUGAAUCGCAUGAUUCAAGUUUGAAAGGCGGCGUAAGCUGUCACUUUAGGAUGAGCCCGCGGCGCAUUAGCUAGUUGGUGGGGUAAAGGCCUACCAAGGCAAUGAUGCGUAGCCGAGUUGAGAGACUGAUCGGCCACAUUGGGACUGAGACACGGCCCAAACUCCUACGGGAGGCAGCAGUAGGGAAUCUUCCACAAUGGACGCAAGUCUGAUGGAGCAACGCCGCGUGAGUGAAGAAGGUUUUCGGAUCGUAAAGCUCUGUUGUUGGUGAAGAAGGAUAGAGGCAGUAACUGGUCUUUAUUUGACGGUAAUCAACCAGAAAGUCACGGCUAACUACGUGCCAGCAGCCGCGGUAAUACGUAGGUGGCAAGCGUUGUCCGGAUUUAUUGGGCGUAAAGCGAGCGCAGGCGGAAUGAUAAGUCUGAUGUGAAAGCCCACGGCUCAACCGUGGAACUGCAUCGGAAACUGUCAUUCUUGAGUGCAGAAGAGGAGAGUGGAACUCCAUGUGUAGCGGUGGAAUGCGUAGAUAUAUGGAAGAACACCAGUGGCGAAGGCGGCUCUCUGGUCUGCAACUGACGCUGAGGCUCGAAAGCAUGGGUAGCGAACAGGAUUAGAUACCCUGGUAGUCCAUGCCGUAAACGAUGAGCGCUAGGUGUUGGGGACUUUCCGGUCCUCAGUGCCGCAGCAAACGCAUUAAGCGCUCCGCCUGGGGAGUACGACCGCAAGGUUGCAACUCAAAGGAAUUGAGCGGA
rnacentral:rRNA from 1 species